rnacentral:tRNA from 1 species
UCCGGCGUAGCUCAGUGGUAGAGCGACGGACUGUUAAUCCGUUGGUCGUAGGUUCGAGUCCUACCGCCGGAGCCA